ACACUGAUGGUGAAGCGGUUAUCAUGCUUGCCUUCCAGUCUACGGGAACACCUGCAUUCUGCGUUAGCAAGCGGCAGGGGUUCGACUCCCCUUCAGUGUA